CCGUAAGGUACGUCACAUGGUCAAGUUAACUUAAAACUACUUUCUAAUUCAGCGUGGACAAGCCUCCAUUAUGGAAUCCACUGAGAAGCACUUGAAGCCAAACACCUCUGUAAACGUCGACCACAUACUCAGAGAGAUGGAGACUCUGUCGAACAGCCUGCAUCAAAUGGCGGCGGAGACCCAGCGGUGGCAGUGUGAGCUGAUGGCUUGUGUUGACCACUCUGAGAAGCUGGCGCCGCCACACACCCCGCGGACCCCACAGAAACGCCCCCGAACCUGAACACGGCUGGCUGGCAAAGAUCUGCGGUACGUUUUGCAAAACUCCAUGUAAAAAUUAUCCCGAAACAAGUUCAUGGUUUUUCCUGCCACAAUCGUCUUAAUGUAUGUCCCGGCGUGGGUGCAGUGGACCCUAACUUUAGUGCCUCUGUGGGUUUGAUCAGUGUCGGCGGUGUGUGCAUGUAAUGGGCAGUCAUCUCGGCUGCCCUGGGGGAAAGUCUGCAGAACAGCAGCACAUAUAAAAAUGACAGGGACCUAAUGGUGCAGUGCAGCACCUCCCGGGGGUGUGACUGGAGAUGCUAUCCAGGAUGGAUUGCGAGUGGACUUGCAAACUUCUCUCUCUGUAUAAUUGCGCCGCCGUCCUCUUUCAUUCUUAUUUGGUCUCUGAUGUGCAAUCAGCAGUAAUUGGUUACUGAUCUAAUGUCCUGAAUUUAAACCCUCAAUUAGCCUUUUCAUAUGUCUCGCUUCCCUGUCUCUUCUUAUUAAACACACAACAGCCACACCACUGAGAGCAACCCACUCCGAAAUAAUAAUUCUGAUGAGCAUUUGUGAAGACAAUUAGACAACAAUCUCACCCUGCAGAAUAUCUGCGUCUCAACUGCUGAACCCUUUAAGUCUGAUGUCAAUAAAGUAGCCGAUUAUUAGUGUUUAAUUGUUGUUGUGGACGAUGAAAAUGCUGGUUGAUGUGUUCUUCAGGUUGCUGAAUUAUUUUGUUUUUAUCUAAACACCGCCAUCUUCUGGCCGUGUUUGAAAGUGUUCCAGUGCAGUUCUAUCAUCCAAUGCCUUGCGCUCACCAUAUAAGCGGGCAAAUAUAGUUUGUUUUACAUGUUUUAAGUUGUGCGUGAGCGAAGAAAAGUUCAAAUGAGUGGAGGGGCGACCUUUUUUCGCAUUUAGGUGGAUGUUUUGAUAGUUGCUUUUCGUUGCUUUAUCGAGGUCUAUGGCAGACCGAGCACCUACAUACCUGUAUGUUUGAUGUCACACUGAACCCUAGUGGAGAAUACUGUGUAUAGCAUACUUUUACUAAAGCAAAGACCUCCAUGCACGAGUUUAGAAACGUAUAUAUUAGUAUGAUGCAUUUCAAUUUGCCUUCUACGCUUUGUUUGUAAUGCAAUGAACAAGUUAUCACUCGUUUCAGUAACAAUGUUUUGUUCUAUAAACAUGUUAUAUCAAUUUAUCAAUCAAUUAAUUUUGAUGUGAAAUCUACCUAUUUCAAUUUUCCUGACAGUCACCCCGAAAUGGUAUUAGA